AGCGAACGCUGGCGGCAGGCCUAACACAUGCAAGUCGAACGAACCUUUCGGGGUUAGUGGCGGACGGGUGAGUAACACGUGGGAACGUGCCUUUAGGUUCGGAAUAACUCAGGGAAACUUGUGCUAAUACCGAAUGUGCCCUUCGGGGGAAAGAUUUAUCGCCUUUAGAGCGGCCCGCGUCUGAUUAGCUAGUUGGUUGAGGUAAUGGCUCACCAAGGCGACGAUCAGUAGCUGGUCUGAGAGGAUGAUCAGCCACAUUGGGACUGAGACACGGCCCAAACUCCUACGGGAAGCAGCAGUGGGGAAUCUUGCGCAAUGGGCGAAAGGCUGACGCAGCCAUGCCGCGUGAAUGAUGAAGGUCUUAGGAUUGUAAAAUUCUUUCACCGGGGACGAUAAUGACGGUACCCGGAGAAGAAGCCCCGGCUAACUUCGUG
rnacentral:rRNA from 1 species